AUACGGAGGGUGCAAGCGUUACUCGGAAUUACUGGGCGUAAAGCGUACGUAGGCGGGCAAUUAAGUCAGAGGUGAAAUCCCACAGCUCAACUGUGGAACUGCCUUUGAUACUGGUUGUCUUGAAUUAUAGUGAAGUAGAUAGAAUAUGUAGUGUAGCGGUGAAAUGCUUAGAUAUUACAUAGAAUACCGAUUGCGAAGGCAGUCUACUAACUGUAUAUUGACGCUGAUGGACGGAAGCGUGGGGAGCGAACAGGAUUAGAAACCCUUGUAGUCC
rnacentral:rRNA from 1 species